rnacentral:lncRNA from 1 species
CUUUCUUGGGAAGACAUUGGCUUUUGGAAGCUUAUAGAAAUGAGGAGAACUGAGGGCUUCAGUUGUCCCAAGGGCCCUUGUGCUCAGAGGGGUUCGGUGACACCUUGAGUCUGCGUCCAGUGCUCUUCCAGCCAUGGUAGCACCCUUGGAGCUGCUUCUCUCUCAUCCUCCCGGAAAGAAAUCCAGUGGAACAAUCCAGAGGCCCUGGAAAGGUGGGAUCAUCAGUGUCAAAGUCAGAGGCUCUUGCAUUGUGGUGUUGACACAGUGGAGAGUGGAGGAGAAUGACCGGUUCUAAUCAUCUGACAGCAGGAGAUCUGUGGGACGUUGGGGAACUUUUUCAGUCAUAUCAGCCAACUAUAAUGUCUGAGGACGGCAUCCAGCCAGUCACGUGGAAAUAAAGCUUUCACCUUGAAGUUUGAGCUUCCUGCCAAGUUUUCAUGCCUGGAGGAGAAGAUCCAGUCAGUCUUCCUGAGGAAGCCAUCAGUGCUGGAAAGGAACAGUGAUUGUGUCACAAGGGAGGUGCUGACCAGUGUUGUCUUUGGCAGAGGGAGUGUAGAGCUAAUGUACAAACCUGUAUACACAUACAAUUUUGUCACAUUUUGUACCAUCUUCUUUACUGUCCUGAUAGGAAAUGUGUAGAAAAUCUAACCCAGUCAUGUAAAAAAAAAAAAAAAAAAAAAAAAAAAAAAAAAAACACAGAAAUGCCACAACAGUUAUAUAAAACAAAAAUAAGAGGUAAAGGAUGUAUACUGAAAUACACAUCUUAACAUGGAAAAGCUCAGGACAGCUGCAGUGGAAGACACAAGAAGUCAUGUGGCCAUACCUGUGUGGGGCCUCGCUGCAAAGGGUCAGCAGCAAAAGUAGAAUGGGGGAGGUGUGUUGUAUGGUGAGUUGGUUUUGCUAAGUGGGUUUUAGCAUGAUUUUUCUGACAUGCCAACUCUGAGAGUUGUCUGGAACAAAGGAACCUCAUGUGGUCCCUGGAUGAACCUGGCAAUUGCGUUUCUGGAAGAUCCAUGGUUUGCUUAUAGGUAAAGUAUUUGGGCUUUGGGCU